rnacentral:rRNA from 1 species
AAGUCGUAACAAGGUUUCCGUAGGUGAACCUGCGGAAGGAUCAUUACCCUUUCAUCAGGGGACUGGCGUCAGUGUUCGGGGCUCUUGCUCUGUUCUCUGGCCCAUUCCUUUCUGAUUCUACCCAUGUCUUUUGCGUACUAUUUGUUUCCUUGGUGGGCUUGCCUGCCAAUAGGACAAACUAAAACCACUUGUAAUUGCAGUCAGCGUCAGUAACAAUGUAAUUAUUACAACUUUCAACAACGGAUCUCUUGGUUCUGGCAUCGAUGAAGAACGCAGCGAAAUGCGAUAAGUAGUGUGAAUUGCAGAAUUCAGUGAAUCAUCGAAUCUUUGAACGCACAUUGCGCCCCUUGGUAUUCCAUGGGGCGUGCCUGUUCGAGCGUCAUUUGUACCCUCAAGCUUUGCUUGGUGUUGGGUGUAUGUUCUCUGUGCUUGCGCAGAUUGGACUCGCCUUAAAACAAUUGGCAGCCGGCACAUUGGCCUGGAGCGCAGCACAUUUUGCGCCUCUUGUCAUGGUUGUUGGCAUCCAUCAAGAUCUUUUAUCAGCUCUUGACCUCGGAUCAGGUAGGGAUACCCGCUGAACUUAAGCAUAUCAAUAAGCGGAGGAAAAGAAACCAACAGGGAUUGCCCUAGUAACGGCGAGUGAAGCGGCACAGCUCAAAAUUUGAAAUCUGGCUCUUUUAGAGUCCGAGUUGUAAUUUGCAGAGGGCGCUUUUGGCGUUUGGCAGCGGUUCAAAGUUCCUUGGAACAGGACGUCACAGAAGGGUGAGAAUCCCCGUACGUGGUCGCUGGCCUUCGCCGUGUAAAGCCCCUUCGACGAGUCGAGUUGUUUGGGAAUGCAGCUCUAAAUGGGAGGUAAAUUUCUUCUAAAGCUAAAUACUGGCCAGAGACCGAUAGCGCACAAGUAGAGUGAUCGAAAGAUGAAAAGCACUUUGGAAAGAGAGUCAAAUAGCACGUGAAAUUGUUGAAAGGGAAGCGCUUGCAGCCAGACUUGCCUGUAGUUGCUCAUCCGGGCUUUUGCCCGGUGCACUCUUCUAUAGGCAGGCCAGCAUCAGUUUGGGCGGUUGGAUAAAGGUCUCUGUCAUGUACCUCUCUUCGGGGAGGCCUUAUAGGGGAGACGACAUGCAACCAGCCUGGACUGAGGUCCGCGCAUUUGCUAGGAUGCUGGCGUAAUGGC